rnacentral:misc_RNA from 1 species
AAAAAAGACCAUAAUAUCUCAAAUAGAAAAUUCACAAAAAUAAAGUAGCAGCAGUUCUGUUCAAAUGUGAUUAAAACAACCAUAGCAGAAUAUCACUCACAAUCCUCUUAACCACACCAAAACAUAGUUGGAUAAAUUAUUCCCCUAUCAGUAGAUCCAACAAACAGAUAAAAUAUAAAUCACUCACAUAAGGAAAGACAUACCAUUACUCCAUCAGCAGAUGAACGGAACAUCGACGUGCUCAUCGCUGCAGUAGAGCCCCGGACGUUGCUUAAAUCCCUGCUUGGCCAGCACCUUUCGAGCCCUCUUCACCAGUUCCCGGUUCGAGAUCUCGCCAUCCGUCUCCGCCAGAAUAGUCUGAAUAGCAUUGCUCAUAGCUCCAUAAGCUCCAUCAGUGCUCCCUACCGGGUUUGCAUCAGCCGAGGUCUGGUCAGUCUGGCAGCCACUGACGAGGAUCCCGUUAUCCGGCAGACUCCUCCGGUUCG